GUCCAGACUCCUACGGGAGGCAGCAGUAGGGAAUAUUGCACAAUGGGGGAAACCCUGAUGCAGCGACGCCGCGUGAGUGAAGAAGUAUUUCGGUAUGUAAAGCUCUAUCAGCAGGGAAGAAAAUGACGGUACCUGACUAAGAAGCCCCGGCUAACUACGUGCCAGCAGCCGCGGUAAUACGUAGGGGGCAAGCGUUAUCCGGAUUUACUGGGUGUAAAGGGAGCGUAGGUGGCAUGGUAAGCCAGAAGUGAAAACCCGGGGCUCAACCCCGCGGAUUGCUUUUGGAACUAUCAGGCUGGAGUGCUGGAGGGGUAAGCGGAAUUCCUAGUGUAGCGGUGAAAUGCGUAGAUAUUAGGAGGAACACCGGUGGCGAAGGCGGCUUACUGGACAGAAACUGACACUGAGGCUCGAAAGCGUGGGGAGCAAACAGGAUUAGAUACCCCAAUA
rnacentral:rRNA from 1 species